CGCGGUGGUGCUGUUUACAUGGCUGGACGUCGAACUGCAUGUCAAUAAAGAUUUUUUUUUCUCUCUUUUUUUCACAGAUAUACAACAACGAUAUCCAGCGUGCUCCAAGCCGGGCGGCGUCCCAGAGCGCUUAACCUUCACCACUUCCUUCCAGUUACUUCCCCCAACCUGGUAACUCCUCAAAGCACUGACCUGUCCUGGGGCAGAUAGGAACAGGUGGCAGUGUGACGAUGAAGCCAAACAGAGGAAAGGUGAAACCCAUCAGACAAGUUAAUCUGGAACGGUUGACGCGGAGCCCUCGGAGGGUACCUGGUCAGAGCCCUCGCCGCGCAAGCGAGGGGACCCGGGUCUGAUUCCCGGGCAGGGCGAGAUCUUCGGCGAGUCUCUUCACUCCACAGGUCAACCGAGUAAGAUAGUGUACAUACUCAGCAGACAUACAAACACACAGAACAGAAUGCAAGGGAGAUCCCAAUCAAGUGAUACGGAAUUGUGAUUGUCAUUAUAUAAAUACCCAAAGCAGCGCACAGCUGAUACAGCAGGAGCUGCCGGUACAUUUCGCAACGCUUGUCGGGCUGUGCCUUCCUCAUCUACAAGAGGUAUUCCAGACUCACGUGAGGACAUGUCGACACAUCUGAGCCAUUCCGCAGGCAGAUCAAACGUAAGCGAGAGCACCUGGGUUUGAUUCCCGGGCCGGGCGAAAC